ensembl:lncRNA STARD13-AS STARD13 antisense RNA
GGGGGAGAAUGGGCAUCCCACCCCAGCACUUUCUAGGAAGAAGGGCAGCAUUUUGAAGGGCUGGAAGUAGAGGAAGGAGGUUGCGGGUAGAAGACUCCAUACUUUCUGUGACGCCUAUUCCUUAGGUAGGAACUUAGGAACCUCAGCUUGUGAUGAAUGUUUUCUCAGUAUCCUAUGCUGAAAACAGGGCUAUUUGAAAAAGAGAAGAAAAGGUGUCUUGAAAUUCAACCAACAUGUUUCAAUUAUUUGCUCCUAAGAACAACAGAAGUUUCAACAUUCUGCCAACAGAGUAACUCCUGGAAGAUUGGCACAGAAGAAGGCACAAGAAGUAAGCAGGAAGGGGAGAGUUGGAAUGCAGGAAGAGAAUGCCUACUUCAGCUCGAAAUCCUGACAUGUAAAUUAGGAGAGCCUUUAUAUAACCAAAGAUAUUUUUGGACCAUGAAUUCAGAAAUUCUCGGAGCCACCCAUCAGUGCCUGAGCUUCAGUGAGUCCAUAUCCCAUGUCACCCACGGCAAAGGAGACUCUAAGACUUCUGAAGAGUUUCUUGCUUCUUUCCUGUGGGGCAGUGACUCCACUUCCCAGCAGUAAUGGAAUAUCCUGAAUU